ACUGAAUAGAUACCCGGGUAGUCCAUGCCGUAAACUAUGGAUACUAGCUGUUGGGGGUAUCGACCCUCCAGUAGCGAAAGCUAAACGCGUUAAGUAUCCCGCCUGUGGAGUACGAUCGCAAGAUUAAAACAUAAAGGAAUUGACGGGGACCCGCACAAGCGGUGGAGCGUGUUCUUUAAAUUCGAUGCUAAACGAAGAACCUUACCAGGGCUUGACAUCCCUUGAAUUACUCCGAAAGGAGUGAGUGCUUUAUUGAGCAAGGUGACAGGUGAUGCAUGGCCGUCGUCAGCUCGUGUCGUGAGAUGUUUGGUUAAGUCCAUC
rnacentral:rRNA from 1 species